GGAAGUAAAAGUCGUAACAAGGUCUCCGUUGGUGAACCAGCGGAGGGAUCAUUACCGAGUUUACAACUCCCAAACCCAAUGUGAACGUUACCAAACUGUUGCCUCGGCGGGAUCUCUGCCCCGGGUGCGUCGCAGCCCCGGACCAAGGCGCCCGCCGGAGGACCAACCAAAACUCUUAUUGUAUACCCCCUCGCGGGUUUUUUUAUAAUCUGAGCCUUCUCGGCGCCUCUCGUAGGCGUUUCGAAAAUGAAUCAAAACUUUCAACAACGGAUCUCUUGGUUCUGGCAUCGAUGAAGAACGCAGCGAAAUGCGAUAAGUAAUGUGAAUUGCAGAAUUCAGUGAAUCAUCGAAUCUUUGAACGCACAUUGCGCCCGCCAGUAUUCUGGCGGGCAUGCCUGUCCGAGCGUCAUUUCAACCCUCGAACCCCUCCGGGGGGUCGGCGUUGGGGAUCGGCCCUGCCUUGGCGGUGGCCGUCUCCGAAAUACAGUGGCGGUCUCGCCGCAGCCUCUCCUGCGCAGUAGUUUGCACACUCGCAUCGGGAGCGCGGCGCGUCCACAGCCGUUAAACACCCAACUUCUGAAAUGUUGACCUCGGAUCAGGUAGGAAUACCCGCUGAACUUAAGCAUAUCAAUAAGCGGAGGA
rnacentral:rRNA from 1 species